AGUCUGGUGCCAGCAGCCGCGGUAAUUCCAGCUCCAAUGGCGUAUAUUAAAGUUGCUGUGGUUAAGAAGCUCGUAGUUGGAUUUUUGCUGAAAUGGAUCCGUCUGCCUUCUGGGUAUGCACGCGAUACUGUUUUAGCAUUUCUUGGGGGGCUUAACUGCACUUGGUUGUGUGGUUUGGUACCCAGGGUGAUUACUUUGAGGAAAUCAGAGUGCUUCCAGCAAGUGAAUGUCUUGCAUACAAAAGCAUGGAAUAAUGACAAAGUUCAUUGUUAUGCUUGUUGGUUUCGUAACGGGGAUAAGGAUUGAUGGGGAUGGUUGGGGGCAUUUGUAUUUAACUGUCAGAGGUGAAAUUCUUGGAUUUGUUAAAGACAAACUAAUGCGAAUGCAUUUGCCAAGGAUGUCUUCUUUAAUCAAGAACCGAAAGUUAGGGGAUCGAAGACGAUUAGAUACCGUCCUAGUCUUAACCAUAAACUAUGCUACCAAGAAAUUGGAGGCGGUUGCCUGCUGAUUCCUUCGGCAUUUUUUGAGAAAUCAAAGUCUUUGAGUUCCAGGGGGAGUAUGGUCGCAAGACUGAAACUU
rnacentral:rRNA from 1 species